UCAUUAUCCUGUUUUAUAACCAUCAUGUAUGAUAUACUGAAAACACUAGGGGCAGAUUUGGAUCCCAAAAGUCCUAUAUUGUUGAUGAUUGUCAUGUACAUGUUAUUUAUUGUCGGAUUAAACUUUGUUCGCAUUUCACACCCAGUGAUUCCAAUGAUAACCAAGAAUGAUGUUAAUAAUGCUAAUAUCGAGGAACUUCGUUAAUUGCAAAUGAUAUAAUAGUGACACCAAGGAUUAGAAUUUUGGAGAUGGUAGACUCACAAUGCUUGACUGAUAUACAAGCAUUCGUAGUGAAACAGAUGAUAGUUUUGUCCGUAAUGACAUUUUUAUCUUGAUUGAAGAACUAAAAACAACAUCAAAUAUAGGAUACAGAAUAAAUUCUCGACUUGUAUUGAGCUUCUUCUAAAGAAUGAAAAUGAUUAUACAAAACAGGCGACAGACCAGUCAAGCACGAAGAAAGAAAAGACGAAAAAUAACUCUAUAAAAAUAUUUGUCAUAUUUUCUAUUAAUAUAAGAGUAAUUAAUGGGAGAUAAUUUAAAAAAAAAUGCAUAUUUUUAGUAGAAUAUGUCUGUCUAUUUUUAGUAGAAUAUGUCUGUCUAUUCAUAUGUGAUAACAGUAUAAGUAUGAUUGAAUUAAUUGUUAAACAUUUUAUGACACAGCAGUUACAUUGAAGUAAAUUAGUUACAUAUUAAUAUCGAUAUUAAUGUAUUCUUGAUAUGCUUUGCUUUUUUGAAACGUUGUUUAAUUUUAAUUACUACGGGUUUCAUGGCUAAUAAGUUUUCUUUUCCAAAAUUAAAUUUGCAUCAUUUUUCUUAGGCUUAUGUCUUUGAUGGAUAGUUGUCUCAUAUCUUAUCUUAUUUUAUAUUUAUAUUUUUAUAUUAAUUAAAUGUGCAUGCAGAUAUGUGCAUGUAUAGCUGAUAUCUUGAUUUAAAACUGUUGAAUGUUUUAUCUAAAUUAUACAAAAUGUCUACUGAA